rnacentral:rRNA from 1 species
UACGUAGGGGGCAAGCGUUGUCCGGAAUCAUUGGGCGUAAAGCGCGUGUAGGCGGUCCGGUAAGUCCGCUGUGAAAGUCCAGGGCUCAACCCUGGGAUGCCGGUGGAUACUGUCGGGCUAGAGUACGGAAGAGGCGAGUGGAAUUCCCGGUGUAGCGGUGAAAUGCGCAGAUAUCGGGAGGAACACCUAUUGCGAAGGCAGCUCGCUGGGACGUCACUGACGCUGAGGAACGAAAGCGUGGGUAGCAAACAGG